rnacentral:misc_RNA from 1 species
AGUUUCUUCUUCUCCUUUUGCCUUUAUGGGGUUUUAGGAAGCCUCAAAUCACCUGCCAAACCAUCCCUUUUCUGCUCUGUUCAUCUCGUUGGUCUUUUUCCAUGAAAAUGGCUCUCCAUCUCUGCAGGUUUCUUCAAGAAAUGGGAAUUUCUGUUCCAGGUUGAUUUCUUCUUCCCUUUUUGUCUUUUUGGGGUUUUGGGAAGCCUCACAUCACCUGCCAAACCACCCUUUUCUGCUCUGUUCAUCUUGUUAAUUGGUCUUUUUCCAUGAAAAUCAUUCUCUAUUUCUGCCGGUUCCUUCAAGAAAUGGCAUAUUUUGUUUCAGGUUGUUAUAUUUCUUCCCUUUUUGUCUUUCUGGGUCUUGAGAAGCCACAUGGAAUUUGUACAUAACAAAAUAGAGAUUUGUAGUUUGUGAUCAGAGAAGCCCUUCUUUGUUAAUUAAUUCAGUUUUCUGGUUAUCUCUUCUGGUUCAAUAUGCUCUAUAACCCAACAAUCUGAAAUGUUGUUAUGAAAUCAGAAAAGUGUUCUUGAUCAAUCUUGUUUACAAAAGGAGAAUUAAAGAAAGAGAAAACUUAUUGAGGUUUGUU